GGGCGGGAGCGCGCCGUCCCGGUCACGUGGGCCCGCCCGCGGCUCGGUGCGCUCCCUUCGGCCUCAGUUUGGAAAAAAACUUCUGCGCUGGUGACGGCUUGAGUGUGUCAAUGCAGCCAGUGUGAGUUGUUCCUGUUAGUUACCGUGAGUUACCAAAGAGUCCUACAGUGUUAUCCUUCAGUGCCCACUUCAAGUCUCUCCUCUUUCAUGAAGGGCCUCUCAUUACAGAAUCAUCUGAAGAACAUGUCCUUGAAUUCCUAACUAGUGGUUUGCUGGAGACAGCCCCCCAUGCUGUGCCUCUGUGCUUCUCUUUCCAAUUCUGAGUCAAGGAACUUCAUAUUUGCGUCAAAGUGGGAGUAAUUACGCUAUGGAGAUCAGCAAAUGUGACAAAUCAAUCAAGACUCUCUUCCCCCAGCCGAGGCUCCAGCCUAUUCACCAGCACAGCACUGUCUGAAUGCCAUGUCAACUGGACCACCCACUCGGAUAUUAGUCAUGUACCAAUUUGUGACAGCUCUUGCUUUUUGAAUGUGGUGAGGUUGGGAGGGCAAGGACCCCUGACCUACACUGCAUCUGAAUCUCCAAAGGAGGAAAGGUCCUGAGGAAUAGUUUGGUCUGUGGUCUUCAUUGUACACAUGGGGAAAAAGAGGACAGAGACCUUCAGGGACUUGGUAAUUCGUUGUGAAGUCAAGGCAGAGAAAGUCUACCAUCUUUUGUCUUCCACCCAUGAUUAAAAUGUAGGCCUUCCUGGCCUUCUUCUUUGUCCUUUUACAGCCCUUUUCUGCAAUUUUGGCACAAAAGAGGGUUUAAAGUGAUUGUUGAAUCAUUCCAAAUAGCUAAUGGCCAAGACCCAAAUUGUCAAUGCUUACUUUCAACAAGGGGCUUUGGGCUGUGAAGUUCUCCAGGAUGAGAUCAUUCCAGAUGGGGUCUUCUUACUGUGGCAGCACUAGGGAGACAGCUGCUGAAAGAGAGGACUUGCUGUCCUUCCAUAGAGAGAUUGAGAUGUUGGAGUGAGUGUUGGCUUCCCUGUGUAUUAUGUCACUUAGAAUCAAACAAGAUGAUAGUUGAACUGCAAGGAGAGCUUGCAGACUAUAAAAAUUGAAAAUACACAGUUUAUGUUUGA